GUUUUAAUAGUUUAAUAAAAACAUUGGUCUUGUAAACCAAAAUUAAGGUUUUCUUUUAAAACU
rnacentral:tRNA from 1 species